CUAAACAUUUCACAAUUAUGCUAGAGAACUGUUGAACUGUUAAGAACCACUGCACCAAGGAGGCUGAGGGUCCGCGGGGAGCGCAGCGGGGCCGAGGCGCGCUUCCCGCCCGCUCCUGCCCCGGGCUUGGCUCUUCGUUUCGCCGCGGCGGACCUGGGGACGAGACAGAACACACGGGACUGGCGGGCGGGCAGCGACAGCGCCCGGGGACAGCGCCCGGCCCGGCCCGGCACGCCCGCCCCGCACUCCUCGCUCAGCGCCGCCACUUACUGAUGGCCACCGUCCCGCGAGCAUCCCCGGCCUUGCGCUGGGGCUGGGAGAGCUUGACGGCAGCACGCUCUCUUUACAAAGUGCAAAAACAAAACAAAACAAAAACAAACAGAAAAAAAAAACACCAACAAAACAACCAACCAAGCAACCCCAAAAAAAAGUAAGGAAAAAAAAAAAGUUUAAAAAAGAACAAACGAAACAAAACCAGCCGUUCUCCUGAGGGGCCGCAGCUCAGCGGCUGCCCGGGCCGGGCGCCCGCGGCCGCUCCCCGCUAGCCAUGUGCCGCGGCCGCCCCUCUGCCGCGCCUGGCCGUGCGGGGCCCUUUUAUACCCGCGCGGUACCUCGCGGUGAUGAGCCGUCCCCUGCGCGGCAGCCAGGAAUGCUGCCCUCGCCCCUCACACGACCAGUUUUUCCAGGCUGCCUUCGCACUGACGGGGCGGUUUUGUUUCCAGCCAUCAUCUGGGGCGGCCGAACGUCAGCAGGUAGAGAAGGACAAACCUGUUCCGAGGCGGCGCGUUUCCUCCCUCCCUCUCUCCUCCCGCCGCCCUCCUGCCCUCCGCCCUGCCACCGGGGGAAACUGCUCGACAGGUUUCGCCGAAGCUGGAGGUGGCUCCGGGGGGUGCCCUGAGGAGCCACCAUUGGGGAGCACCAGACUUUUCCCGAGGUCACGUCCUGCUCCUGAAUGUUCCCGACCUUGGUUUCAGAAAGGAAGGACUAAGAAGCCAGAACUGAAGAACGUGAAGAAGGUUUCUGAAAAGAUAUGA
rnacentral:lncRNA from 1 species